AUGGGCAAGCCGAGCGGCAGCGGCAGCAAAUCCAAUUCUGAUUUCAGGCGAGCUAUCUCUGCAGUGCGCACUAAAAACCGAGAUCAAAUAUCCGGCCAAAAACGUUCAGGUGGAUCUCGCUCAAAGAAAAGGAGUUCCAUAAAGAGGAAAGCAUGGAAAGACAAACUAUACUCCAGGUGUGCUCCUUCUAUCAUUGUAGAUCUCAUGGAAGACCUUGACGAGCAGCCCAGAAAGCUUGUAGAAGAGAUGGGGUUUCAGGGAUUACAUAGCCUAAAGCUGCACAAGCUAAAUAAACCAUUAGGAGCCUGGCUGCUUAGUAAAUUCGAUACAAAUUUGUUAGUUUUUUUUGCUGGGACAAGCAGAGAGCUAAAGAUGACACCCGAGGACGUAAAUCGUGUGAGCGGAAUCCCAUGUUCUGGCAUGAUCAUAGUACCUCCAAGCCCACAAGAUGCCAUUUCUAUGAAAGCAUACUUUUGUGGUGUUUUCGAAAAAUCCUCAUGGGAUGAAAUCACUAUCAGCUUCCUUUUGAAAAUAGUAACAACAAAACCAAAAGGCGAAAUGACAAGUGAAGAAAUCCUGCGAUUCAAGACCGCGUUUGCAUUUUCUGUUGUUACCAAAUUCUUCGCUCCACAAUCCCUGAACAACUUCAUAUCAACACGAUAUAUGAAAGCAGUGUUUGAUAUAGAGAACAUUCAUGCCUACAACUGGGCACAAUUUGUUGCCGACGAGCUCAGACUAGCAGCAGCAUCUCUGCAGUUGAAGCUUUCCCGUGGAAAGAACAUUGGAUACAUCAAUGGAUGCAUGUUAAUCCCUCAGAUUCACUACCUAGACAGCUUGGACUUUGGCAAGGAUUCUCCUCCUGACCACAUUCUUCCCCGGUUUGCUGCAUACAACGACGCCAUGGUCUGUAACCUGAUCAAACGGGAUAUAAUUCUGAAAAAUCUACUUCCUUUUCCGACAUAUGGUAAACUAAAGAUACGCAGUCCUCACAGCAUACGCUACGAGUCAGGACCAUGUGUGCACGCACCCCCUUGUACUCCUGUUUCUGGUAGAGUGUUCAACUCCCUCGUUAACUUGGAGACACCAAAAUUUGACAUGGGAUUGAGUCAACUUGAGCCCGGCGACAACACCACAAUACACCAGAUCAACCUCAACAAGCUCCACAAUCAAGUAAAACCAGGAAAUUUUCCUGACCCUACUCCUACUUCCAUAUCGCCUCAUUCUUUACUGCAAGAGACGAGUGCAAUAAGGAUUUCUAUCCAUGAGGAAUGCGGUCUCCCGAAAGUACAACCCAAAACAAGGAGGAGAAUCAUUGGGGUACCAUCUGAUAUGCUUCUAGACGUACCAAAACGAGUAAUAAAACCAAGCAAAAUGGUGAAGUCCCCAUUUCUUUGCAAACAGUACCAAUGUGUCAGGCUUGAUGUCCAGGUACAAGAAGAUUUAUUCACAUAUACAAACUCAAUUUCUGCUGCCGACCAACUGAGAAAAAUUUGGCUACACAUAUCUGAUCCAGUCCCAAGGUUUCUAAAAUUGCAACAGAUACAAGAAGCCCUCGCAUUUGACGCUGAAAUGCAAGAUGAUGCAUUCAAUGUUGCUGUCCAAGCACUAUUCGAGGAUGAGGUGCACAGGUUCGGGGGAACAGAUUUCCUAGGCUGGAGGCACUUCUUGAAUCAAGAUUUCGCGAUGCACGCAACCGCUGGUGGCGCAGACUGGAACCCCGAGGAUCAUGUCUACUUAUUCAACGACAUUCACAUACCAUACGACGUCUCAAAAAGCCGUCUGAUAUAUAUCCCUCUCCACCAACCGUUUCAUUUCUCAGUCUACGCAUUUGAUAUGGAGAACGAGAAGAUUCAGAUCAUGGACCCCUUAAGAGAUACAAGCAAAGGAGGGCAGGACAUUGAAGCUAGGCACUCUAAGACUAAAGAUCAUAUUGCGAAAGCAUUGCAGGAUUGCAUGGUCAUCUCUUUUCCAGACUGGAAACGCAAUAUUUCUAGCUGGCAGCAUGAGUUCCCAACAAAUAUUCCAGCAACUGCUAAUAGGAUUGAUACUGCUUUCCACGUUCUGCAUAUCAUGAGAAAUUGGGAUGCAAAAUGCUUAGUCAAUCCAGUCUCUAGUGACUCUCGAGAUUUGCGGAAGGUCUUCCUUGCCAACCUCCUGUCAUUCACAAGUAAUGAGGCCAUACUCCCAGAAAGUGUCAACUACUACAUCAAAGCACUCAGGAGGAACUGA
rnacentral:rRNA from 1 species